CUUGACCAUUUAAUCAACCAUUCAUCAUCAAAUACUUACACAUCAUUCUAUAGUAAAAUCAUAUUUACAAAUAUACAAAAUUACUAAAUUCCUAUACAUGCCAUAACUAAAAGAAAUGUUCACCACCACAAUUAGCUCAGAAUCGGCUUUGGAUGCUGAUUCAACAAUCCGACUUUGACCUAACCUGCGCACGGAAACAACCGUACGCUGAGUAUGGAAAUACUCAGUGGUAUUACCAUAAUUCGAAUUAAUAACAUUAAUCGAUAAAUUAUAUACAUUUUAUUUAUGUCUACAAUUAUUCAUUAAUUAUCUCAUGCAUUAAUUCAACUUGAUAAUUAAUAACAAUAAGCUAUAAUUCAAAUCUUGUAUUUAAUUGUAUUCAUACCUUAUUUCACUAUCUCAAUUCCAUUGGAUUUUUCUUUACAUCUCAUUCCAAUAGUUCAUUUCAAUUCAUAUACAAUUCAUUUCAUUUAAUUUAUAUUCAAUAUAAAUUUUAUUACAAUUUGUACUCACUAAUAUCAUAUAACAAAAUUUACUCUUUAUCACAUCAUGAACUUUGGGCUCAUAUCUUUAAAUCUCUUAUUUCGAUUUCCAAUUCACACAUCAAUUCACAACUUCACUUGUUUUCACACUUUAUUUCUUAACAAUAUACCAUUUUAAUUCAUUUUAACAUCAAUCAUCAUCCAUUUGAACUUCACUCAUUUCAUGAACCUUUUGGUUCAUGUUUUCAAUCUCAUAUCUCAAUUUAAUAUCUCAUUUAUUCAAUUCAUAUUUUAAUUCAUUCAAUUAAAUAUUGGUAUUCUCCUUAUUUUUAUUUACUAAACAUAUUAUUCAAAAUUCAACAAUUACUAUCAAUAAAUUCAAUAUCAAUACGUAUAUAUAUAUUUCAUUCGAUUCAAUCAUGAUACUCACCUCAAUUUUCUUAUCAUGUAUAUUAAUUUAAAUUUUAACAAUUAAUAAUUAAAUUCGAAUUAUAGUAAUACUAACCGUAAUUUCUCUCGAGUCACUCCUUGUCCACUUUCUCCUUUCCUUUCUCGGACAAUGACUCGUACACGACAUUAGCUACGUAAUUAAAUAAUUAAAAAUCAUUAAUACACAAUUUCAUUAAAAUAUUUCCUUUUAUACCUAAACUUUAUAAUUAUCCCUUACCAAUACUAAUUUUAUUUUUCCCAAUCUAACUCUAUAUUCUCUCUUAAUUCUUACUAUAAAGUCAAUUUAAUUCCUCAAUUUCACCAUAAAUCCCUAAUUUCGGGAUUCUUUCAAUUUAAUCCCUAUCGAUUCAAAACUUAUAUUUUAUUUUACAAUUCAAUCCUUUAUUCAAUUCCAAUCAAAAUUUCUAUCAAAUACAUCCCUAAUUUAACAAUUUAUUCAACAUGAACCAUGCUUAAUAAUCUACUAACUUUCAAAAUUUCAACUUAAAUCAAGUAGUAUUUUAUUCUAGGAUUUCAAAAAAAAAUAUCAAAAUUAAGAGAAAAGGGGAUUAAAUUGACUUACCAAAUUACUUUGAACCUUAAAACCCCAAAUUUCCCUUUUUCUUUUCUUUUCUUUCUUUCUUUCCUUCCUUCCUUCUCUGUUUCGUUUUGCUCUCUGUUUCUUUCUUUCUCCCUUCUCUGUUUUGUUUUGUUUUGCUCUCUGUUUCUUUUCUUUGUCAUAUAUAUAUAUAUAAUAUAAU
rnacentral:lncRNA from 1 species